UACGGGGGGAGCAAGCGUUGUUCGGAUUUACUGGGCGUAAAGGGCGCGUAGGCGGUCGUGACAAGUCACUUGUGAAAUCUCCGGGCUUAACUCGGAACGGUCAGAUGAUACUGCUUUGCUCGAGUGCGGAAGGGGCAAUCGGAAUUCUUGGUGUAGCGGUGAAAUGCGUAGAUAUCAAGAGGAACACCUGAGGUGAAGACGGGUUGCUGGGCCGACACUGACGCUGAAGCGCGAAAGCCAGGGGAGCAAACGGG
rnacentral:rRNA from 1 species